UAUUAUAAGGGCACUAAUCCUAUUUAUGAGGGCUUCACUGUCCUGACCUACCACUUCCCACAAUUCCCUGUCCUAAUAUUUUCUCUUUAGAGAUUAGGAUUUCAACAUAAGAAGUUGGAGGAGACAUAAACAUUCAUAUCACAUCACCCAGGCUCACUUGCAAAGGAGGUAAGAACUAAAACCAGCAGACUUUUCUGGCUCAGUCCUAAGCAAUACUGGGUCAAAGUUUAAGCGCUUGCUUUAUUGCUAAACAAAUUCAGGAACCAAGGAAAAAUAACUCAGGUGUUUGCUACUGAAAUGUAAAGCUCUUAACCAGUUAAAAUAGUUUAUUUGUCAAGACUAAGAGUGCAUUCAUUAAGGCUCACUUUAAGACCUUCACUUCAAGAUGCCAUUAAUUCAAAGUUGCUCGGUCUUAACCAUUUUUCCACCUAGCAAGACCAGGUGCUACAACAUUGUAAAUAUCUUUACUUUGCACUUCUGAAAUAUUUCUAGGUUUAAAUGUGAUGUUCUUUAUUUCAGUGAAAUGAUAUUUAGUUUUGCUUGAUCAAUAGAUUCUGUUGGUGAUCUCUUGGGGGAGUCAACUGCCAAAAGAGACAUGGUUACCCAAAAUGACCAGGAGAACUCCACAAGGCCCAAGCAUUCCCCUCUCCCUUAUAUAUAUCAAAAUUUCCACUGAAUUACAUGUGAGAAACAAAAUACCAUGAAUUUUAUUUUUAUCUAUUCAUAAAUAUACUCCCAGCACCUAAAAUGGUGCCUGUCAUAUAUUAAAGUCUCAAUAGAUACUUGGAUAAACAAAACUGAAAAUAAAUCAUGAAUGGAAUUUUUAUGUAGUUUUACUGAUUGGGCAAGCAGACAUUUUAAUGAAUAGAAAUCAAGGUGUGAGACAAAAAUAAUCACAAUCUCAUUAUUCAAAAAAAUUUUUUAUAUUGUUUUCUAGUUCUUAGCUACAUGCAGGCAUAUAUUUUGCAGUGCUAUAACUUUAAAACGGAUAUGCUUGUGUAUUUUGCUUUUCUUCCCAAAAGGUCCCCAAUACUUCUGUGCUGCCAUAUCGCUAUUAUAAUGAUCUUCUUAAUGACUAGAUAAUGGUCCAUGAAUGUGAAUUUUUAUUAUCAUCCAUUUACUGUUUGCCAACUGAAAAGUGUGUCUUUCAAUUAUAGGGAAGUUUUGUAGAAAUACUUAAUAAACCUAAAAUCAAUAGCCCUCACUUCA